GCUCGGGAAAGCCUUUGUCGGGCAGAUCUUGGUCGGGCAAGACACACUUCGGGCAAGGCUCGUCGGGCAGUUCUUAUCGGCCAAGGCUGAACUUCUUACAAAAUCUAUCUUUGUGGCUCUGUCAGAGGUCUGAAAGCUUUUAGAGGGGUUGACGGGGGAGAAGAGGAUACAAAAUGAAUCGAUACCACCAUGAACAAGGUAGCAGAGCUAUUACAGGGGUUUGGGAAGGUUUAUCCCGAAUGGGAUGAAAGCUUGUGCUGACUACAGCUUCGUUGAAGGCAAAUCUAGCUUGAGCAGAGUUUUGGCUUUUGUUUGUUUGAUUGAGUGUCCUUAAUUCUGUCUUCUCUUCCUCCUUUUAUAGACGCCUUCAGCUUGGGUUCCUGUAGCAAUAGCGGUGCCCGAAUGCGGUUUGGUGAUGACUCACUAGCUUUUUUACAUGAAUGCCACCAAUAAAGUACUUUAUUGGGCUAUGUAUUGACUGAAUAGCCUACCCCCUGUGGUCUUUGAGCAGGUAAGCAGGUGGCCUUUGUAACUUGUGCCCAGCCGAAAGCCUCUUUCCUGCCUCCUAAGUUUUCCUCUGGGCCUUGGGUUUGGGCCAACUUUCUCUCUGGCCCAAAGUUCAGAUUUUAUCCCAAACAGUGCCCCCUUCAAUUGAUGUUAAGGUUGGGAUCCCAAGCGCCAACAUUAAAUGAAUAACAACAUGCGUGCCCUUUGAGCUUCUUGCGACCUUUAAACUGCCUUCUGGUUCUCUAUAAAUUCUGGCUUUGGAAACCCUUUUCAAAUCAUCACCUCUUCUUCAUUUUGGUCUUCACCCUUCAUCCACCUUGAAUCCUUCCGUCUCCCCACUGAGAAAUGGGUUCCUCAGGUUUUGAGUGGAGUUUCCUGAAACUCCCCUUUCGUGAGAAAAAAAAAAAAGUUUUCACCUGAUGAUUGCUACCUCCAACACCUUUGGUCGAUCACCCCUCUACCUCCAACACCCUUGGUCAGGCGGUCUCCUCUUGAUGUCUGAUCUUCCCACAACUUGUGGUGAUAAGUUGGGCUUCAUCAUCAUACAUGGUGAAGAUCUUGUGGGAGGGUCCUCUACCAAGCUCAUGUUGGCCGCCCAACCCGAUCACCGUAUGUGAAUUUCUAAGGUCCGUCUCACUCUGCUCCCUCUUCGAUAUAGCAAUCCCUAACAUCCCAUAAUGUAGGACAAUAUUUCUUCAAGAAUUUUGCAUUAAUAGGGUGUUUCUGCUCAUUGCCUUCGAGGUCUGCUAGAUAAUAUCCUCCUUUGUUCAAAACCCGACUAAUAAUAAAAGGACCUUCCCAUGUCGGGCUCCAUUUCCCGAAGCCAUGCAGCUGAGCGCCUAGCGGGAGGACCGCUUUCCACGCUAAAUCUCCCUCAUUGAAAGACUUUAACUUCACCCUUUUGUUAUAAGCUCGGGCAACAACAAUCUUUCCUUCUUGAAUCUGGUUCAAGGCUUCAAUUCGAGCUGCAUCCAGAUCCUCAAUACCUUGACACAUGGCUUCAAUAUAUUCUGCACUAUGCAACCCAAAUUGAUUUUGAAUUCUUACGGAACUGACGUUGAUUUCCAUAGGGAGCACUGCAUCUUGCCCGAAAGUCAAGGCAUAAGGCGUCGUGCCUGUCCCCGCUCUUUUAGAAGUCCGGUAUGCCCACAACAUGUUCCCUAGCAUCUCAUGCCACCUUUCUGGACUAUCAAUCACCAUUCUUUUAAUAAUGUUGACCAAGAUCUUGUUGCUAGCCUCUGCUUGCCCAUUUGACUGAGGGUAGUAUGGACUGGAUUGGAUCAUCUUUAUUUUGUACUUGCUUGCAAACUCUUCAACCUCCUUUGAAAUAAACGAUGGCCCACGAUCCGUUACUAUAGUUUCAGGCACCCCAUACCUGUGCAGGAUCUUGGUCUCAAUAAAAUUCUUGACCACGGCUGAAGUUAUGGAUUUUACUGCCGAUGCUUCUACCCAUUUGGUGAAGUAAUCCGUUGCUACAAUUAUGAAAGUAUGUCCCUUACUAGAGGCCGGAUAAAUCUGCCCGAUGAAGUCCAUUGCCCAACCUCGGAACGGCCAAGGCUUGACCACUGGAUUGAGAGGUACUGAUGGUACGUGCUGGAGAGGUCCAUGUCUCUGACAUUCUUCACAUCCGCGGGCAUAGGACUUACAAUCUUUUUCCAUGUCGGGCCAGAAAUAACCAUACCUUCUGAGUAGCCAUCUCAUCUUUGUUCCCGCUUGAUGUGCUCCACAUAUUCCCUCAUGUACUUCGGCCAUUACUCUCAUGGAUUCCUCUAGGCCUAAGCAUUUUAAUAGCAACCCAUCUGGGGUCUUUCUCAACAGAUUUUUUGUCCACAAGACAUACUUGGUUGCUUGCUGCCUGUUCUUCUUACUUGUGGGUGAAGAAGGAUCUUUCAGAUACUGAGUAAUAGGUGUCCUCCAAUCUUCCACCUCGGUCUCUAGAACCAUUACAUCCAGACUGAACCUCCGAUCUAAGAUAGAGGGAAGGUUUCUUGUUUGGAUCUCAACAUCAACACCAUGUUUCCUUUCUUGCAUUGGCACUCCUGAAGCUAGUUGCGCCAUUUCAUUGGCUGCCAAGUUAGAUCCCCUAGGAAUGUGAUUGACUGAUAUCUCAGACUCCCACAAACUCAGCAGUUGUGUUUGCUGCCAUAUAGUACCCUGCCAUAGUGAUGUGUCUGCAUUUGAACUCGCCAUUUAGUUGAUUUAUCACUAACUCUGAAUCACCAAAGAUCUCUACUUCAGUUGCCCCCAAGUCCAUCAGGAUUUCCAGGCCGAUAAUCAAUGCCUCAUACUCCGCCCGAUUAUUGGUAUUUUUCUUGAUAAUCAAGUAGGAAGGAAUAGUAAUGAUAAACCCCUUGAGGGUUUAUAAUCACAAUUCCAGCUCCUGCUGCCUUCUGAGUGUAGGAUCCAUCGAAAUAUAGCUUCCAAGGUGUAAUCCAAAGACCUGCUACUCUCCUUAUCUCUUGCUGGAUCCAAUCUUCUUUGCCCGAAACAUCACUUCUUGGUGGGAUCCAUAUAUUAGCAACUUCUAAACUUCCCGGGAUAUUGAUUUCCUCGCUUUGAGACUCCUGAUGUUCGGUCAGGAAGUCAGCAAUUGCCUGGCCUUUGACUGCCCUCUGGGGUAUGUACUGAAAACUGAAUUCUGAUAAUGUUAGAAUCCACUUCCCAAUCCUCCCUGCUAGCAUAGGUCUUGACAACAUGUACUUUAUCACAUCUGUUUUGGCGAUAAUGUGCACAUGACAAGGUAGCAUGUAAUGCCUUAGCUUGCUGGCAGUAAAAUAUAGAUCCAAACACAGUUUUUCCACCGGAGAAUAUCUUGUUUCUACCUCGGUCAGAAUUCUGCUGAGGUAAUACACAGCCUGCUCUUUUCCUCCUUCAUUAUUCUGGGCUAGUAGACUCCCAAUUGAUCUUUCCGAUGCAGAAAUAUAUAGUUUCAAUGGCUUUCCCCUUUGAGGUGGCACCAGCACUGGUGGGGAAGUUAAGUAAGCCUUGAUGCUAUCAAAUGCCUGCUGGUGGGUUGGCCCCCACUCAAAAUUCUCCCUAUCCUUCAAUCUCAGUAGCGGAGUUAGUGGCUGGAUUUGGCCCGCCAAAUUGGCAAUGAAUCUCCUUAAGAAGUUGAUUUUACCUAGCAAUCUCUGAAGCUGUACUUUGUUGGUAGGUGGAAGUGACUCUAAUAUUGCCCGAAACUUAUUUUUGUCCACCUCCACACCUCUCUAAUGCACCAAGAAUCCCAAGAAAUUGCCCGCUCUUACUCCAAAAGCGCAUUUCUUUGGAUUCAUCUUCAACUUGUGGAUCCGCAUCCUCAUCAAUGCUUGCUUGAGGUCCACGAGAUGCUGCUCUUCUGUCUUAGAUUUCACCACAAUGUCAUCGAUAUACACCUCCAUGCUUUGGCCAAUUAAAUCAUGAAAAAUGGCAUUCAUUGCCCUUUGAUAUGUGGCGCCUGCAUUUUUGAGCCUGAAUGGCAUGACCAGAUAUUCAUAUGCCCCCACAUGACAAGGACAUCUAAAAGCUGUCUUAUGAAUAUCCUCUGGCGCCAUCUUUAUUUGAUUGUAACCGGCAUUUCCAUCCAUAAACGAUAAAACUUUAUGCUUUGCUACAGCAUCUAUGGAUAAGUCAGCCAUGGGCAUGGGAUAUUCAUCCUUUGGUGUGGCGCUAUUAAUAUUCCUAUAAUCAACACAACAUCGUACUGCUUUUGUUAUAGCUUUUAAAACGGGUACAAUGUUGGCUAGCCACUCUACAUAUUUGGCUGGUCUAAUAAAGCCAGCUUUCACCAGCCUUUCAAUUUCUUCUUUGACUUUUUCUUCUAUCUCCUUUGACAUCCUUCGUGGUGCCUUCUUGACAGGUUUAUAUCCUUCCUUGAUGGGCAUUCUAUGUUCCACCAAGGCUGGGUCUAAUCCUGGCAUCUCGGUGUAAUGCCAAGCAAAACAAUCUUUGAAUUCUUGCAAAAGAGAGAUAAUCUUGGCCCGAUCCUCAAUCCUUAAUAAACCGCUGAUUUGAAAUUGGUCUCGGAUCCUCUUCUGUGCCUAGAUCAAUAACUUCCAAUGGAUCCUGGACUUCUGGAGGUGGCUUAUCAGGCUCUGCACACAAAAAUUCAACUAACUCCGGGUUCUCGGGCAGACCGUCUGGCUCGUCUAUAUCGUAGACGCAUUCGGCCAUUUGAAUGGCCUUAUCUAACUCCUCUGUGCAAGAUUCUUCCUCAUUUUCCUGCUGGCUGGUAGAAACUUUCCCCUGCCACUCCUGCUCUUCUUUAUCCAAGAGCUUUUCUUCCUGUCUUCUUCCCUUUCUAUACACCAACAGUCUUUUAAUCAGGGAUCUGACUGCCAUGACCUGAUCUUUCUUCUUUUGUUCGAUCAUUGAUGGUAUAGAGAGUUUGGUAUAAGACAGGGUCUCUCCCACUCCUCCUUGGUAAGGAGCAUCCCUUGUUCUAGAAGCUUUCGGGCCGUCACCUUGGUAGGGCGGCCGUUCUCAUCAGCUCCUAAACAUUUCAAAAUUCCCACGUUGGGAUUGUAGAAAUUUGCUUCUGCAACAUUAGCUGAGGGGAGGAACGGCCGUGAUUCGGCCUCUACCAACUCCCAAAAGCUUGAUCCUUCAGUACUUGCCUCGUGGUAUACAGCCACUUGUUGAUGAAGAGUAGAAGGUAUGGCUAAACUUUGAUGAAUCCAAUCUCUUCCAAGUAGGGCCCCGUAAGUGGAAGUGCAGUCUACUACAAAAAACGCCAACAUUAUUUUCUUGGACCCCAGAUCUACCUCCAAAGGUAAUAUCCCAUGAGUCCUGGUGAUGGCACCUGAAAAGCUCGAGACUGUAAGGUUUGUGGGAAUAAGAUCUUCAGUGCUUCUCCCCAUCCUCUUCAUCUGCUUGGCUGGCAAUAUGUUAACAGCCGCUCCUCCAUCAAUCAAAAAUUCUUUUGAAAGGUACACCUUCCAGAUGAGCUGAAACGUAUAUAGGCUUCAGGUGGUUGGCCAACGAAAUACUUGGGCGGCUGAACACCAUUUUAUCUGUGUAAAUCCGUAGGGGACCACCUUUAGGUACUUUUGAGGAUUCAACCUUGCCUGAGUCUUCCUCUGUAACUACCUCCACAUUGACGUGAGCCAUCAUCGGCUCAGUUGUUAAAUAAUCACCAUCCAUGGUAGCGGGCUGGUCAGGCCUGGCGCCAAACAUGGCGGAUAAUACAUACGUCAUGUUGAUGUGGAAGUUGCUGGGUUCGAGCAAGUCCUCCUUCUUGCUCCCAACGUGAUCCAUGAACUCGUCUAACCAGGCCAUUGCAUCGGCUGGUAGUAAGGGCUCUGGUAUCCCUUCCUGUUGUGGUUGAUUUAUGUCUCCGUACAGCGCUUGCUUUGGAACUUCACCAAACGGAUCCAAAGGCAGAAAGGCUGGUCUCAUCUCAGAUGCAACAGUUUCCUCAUGGGUGGGCCCUGGCCUCCAACCAGGUGUUGGCAUCAUAGUCAGAUCUUCCUGAGCCCUUCUUAAGAUCCUAUACUUGCCAGGAUGUUGGCUUUGUGGCACAUGAUUCCCCAUACCCUCCGUCUUGCCGUUGGCCCUUUCUACUUCCUUCUUACUUCGCCAACGAAGCUGACUACUACUUCCAGAUGUUGCCCUCUCUGGCUUUUUGAUUUUUUUGAGGCUUCAGAGGUGAUGGGGGUCAUCAGGGAAUUCAUGUAGGCUUUGUGCUGCCUUUGAACCCUUCUGACCAUGGAUGCUCCCAUUGGUCUGGUGGGCUGCCCAUCUUUUCCAACUACAUACCAUUUCCGCCCACGAUAUGCAGGAGUUGCUUUCUUAACAGGAUUAGCUAUCCCAUCAGUUCUUCUGACUUCCUUCCCCUUUUGGCCAUUUUGAAGCUGCUCUGUACUUCUUUGGAGUUUGGCUUCCAUGUCCUCUGCCUCGUCAGAAACUUCAUAAUUUCGAAAUACUUCUGACAACGCCUUGGGUUGGGAAUCACCUUCUAAACGUUGAAAAACGCUUCGGGAAGUAUUUUUUCUUGUUGCCUGCUUAAGCCUUUCGCGGGCUUCUCUUUUAAUUAACUCGUGAUCAAUAAGGACUCCAGCUGGGGGAAUCUCGAGUUCACAUUUACACUGGCAUUUACUACACAUAACCAGCCCUUUGAUUAUGGCAGCCUUUGGGUACUCGGAUGGUUUGCCUAUCCCUUUCGUAGGUCGUUUGGCUAGUUUCCCUUCUUCUUCUUCCCUUAUAAUUUUCCCUUUUCCUUUCUCUGCCCAGGUCAUGUUGAGCAUGUUUACCGGGGCUUCAGAAAAGGGCAACACAGGGUUGACUAUGACUACCUCACCUGGUUGGGUAGUCCUGUGUCUUUCUCCUUUGGGAGGAGCCAAACGUAUCUCAUUUCUAGAGCCUAGGGAGGCUUCAUUCAGUCUCUGUAGCAUUUGAAACAAUGUAUUCUGUAAAUCUUCUGGCAUGUUUAUCUUUAUCUUCAGAUCAGAGAGUCCCACUGGGCGUGCCAAAACUAUGUUCGUCGCAGGAAUCUCUUGGCGGACGAGCACACAGCUCCCCUGGGAGAAUGGCGUCGGUUGAGGGUAUCUGUCGUACUUCUGCUUUCUUCUCGGGCUCGCUCGGGAAAGCCUUUGUCGGGCAGAUCUUGGUCGGGCAAGACACACUUCGGGCAAGGCUCGUCGGGCAGUUCUUAUCGGCCAAGGCUGAACUUCUUACAAAAUCUAUCUUUGUGGCUCUGUCAGAGGUCUGAAAGCUUUUAGAGGGGUUGACGGGGGAGAAGAGGAUACAAAAUGAAUCGAUACCACCAUGAACAAGGUAGCAGAGCUAUUACAGGGGUUUGGGAAGGUUUAUCCCGAAUGGGAUGAAAGCUUGUGCUGACUACAGCUUCGUUGAAGGCAAAUCUAGCUUGAGCAGAGUUUUGGCUUUUGUUUGUUUGAUUGAGUGUCCUUAAUUCUGUCUUCUCUUCCUCCUUUUAUAGACGCCUUCAGCUUGGGUUCCUGUAGCAAUAGCGGUGCCCGAAUGCGGUUUGGUGAUGACUCACUAGCUUUUUUACAUGAAUGCCACCAAUAAAGUACUUUAUUGGGCUAUGUAUUGACUGAAUAGCCUACCCCCUGUGGUCUUUGAGCAGGUAAGCAGGUGGCCUUUGUAACUUGUGCCCAGCCGAAAGCCUCUUUCCUGCCUCCUAAGUUUUCCUCUGGGCCUUGGGUUUGGGCCGACUUUCUCUCUGGCCCAAAGUUCAGAUUUUAUCCCAAACA
rnacentral:lncRNA from 1 species